rnacentral:rRNA from 1 species
UGCUGGAGGUAUCAGAAGUGCGAAUGCUGACAUAAGUAACGAUAAAGCGGGUGAAAAGCCCGCUCGCCGGAAGACCAAGGGUUCCUGUCCAACGUUAAUCGGGGCAGGGUGAGUCGACCCCUAAGGCGAGGCCGAAAGGCGUAGUCGAUGGGAAACAGGUUAAUAUUCCUGUACUUGGUGUUACUGCGAAGGGGGGACGGAGAAGGCUAUGUUAGCCGGGCGACGGUUGUCCCGGUUUAAGCAUGUAGGCUGGUUGUCCAGGCAAAUCCGGAUAAUCAAGGCUGAGGUGUGAUGACGAGGUACUACGGUGCUGAAGUAACAAAUGCCCUGCUUCCAGGAAAAGCCUCUAAGCAUCAGGUAACAUCAAAUCGUACCCCAAACCGACACAGGUGGUCAGGUAGAGAAUACCAAGGCGCUUGAGAGAACUCGGGUGAAGGAACUAGGCAAAAUGGUGCCGUAACUUCGGGAGAAGGCACGCUGGUGUGUAGGUGAAGUCCCUGCGGAUGGAGCUGAGACCAGUCGAAGAUACCAGCUGGCUGCAACUGUUUAUUAAAAACACAGCACUGUGCAAACACGAAAGUGGACGUAUACGGUGUGACGCCUGCCCGGUGCCGGAAGGUUAAUUGAUGGGGUUAUCCGUAAGGAGAAGCUCUUGAUCGAAGCCCCGGUAAACGGCGGCCGUAACUAUAACGGUCCUAAGGUAGCGAAAUUCCUUGUCGGGUAAGUUCCGACCUGCACGAAUGGCGUAAUGAUGGCCAGGCUGUCUCCACCCGAGACUCAGUGAAAUUGAACUCGCUGUGAAGAUGCAGUGUACCCGCGGCAAGACGGAAAGACCCCGUGAACCUUUACUAUAGCUUGACACUGAACAUUGAGCCUUGAUGUGUAGGAUAGGUGGGAGGCUUUGAAGCGUGGACGCCAGUCUGCGUGGAGCCAACCUUGAAAUACCACCCUUUAAUGUUUGAUGUUCUAACGUUGGCCCCUGACCGGGGUUGCGGACAGUGUCUGGUGGGUAGUUUGACUGGGGCGGUCUCCUCCCAAAGCGUAACGGAGGAGCACGAAGGUUAGCUAAUCCUGGUCGGACAUCAGGAGGUUAGUGCAAUGGCAUAAGCUAGCUUGACUGCGAGCGUGACGGCGCGAGCAGGUGCGAAAGCAGGUCAUAGUGAUCCGGUGGUUCUGAAUGGAAGGGCCAUCGCUCAACGGAUAAAAGGUACUCCGGGGAUAACAGGCUGAUACCGCCCAAGAGUUCAUAUCGACGGCGGUGUUUGGCACCUCGAUGUCGGCUCAUCACAUCCUGGGGCUGAAGUAGGUCCCAAGGGUAUGGCUGUUCGCCAUUUAAAGUGGUACGCGAGCUGGGUUUAGAACGUCGUGAGACAGUUCGGUCCCUAUCUGCCGUGGGCGCUGGAGAAUUGAGGGGGGCUGCUCCUAGUACGAGAGGACCGGAGUGGACGCAUCACUGGUGUUCGGGUUGUCAUGCCAAUGGCACUGCCCGGUAGCUAAAUGCGGAAGAGAUAAGUGCUGAAAGCAUCUAAGCACGAAACUUGCCCCGAGAUGAGUUCUCCCUGAGACUUUAAGUCUCCUGAAGGAACGUUGAAGACGACGACGUUGAUAGGCCGGGUGUGUAAGCGCAGCGAUGCGUUGAGCUAACCGGUACUAAUGAACCGUGAGGCUUAACCUUACAACGCCGAAG